UACGGGAGGCAGCAGUGGGGAAUAUUGCACAAUGGGCGAAAGCCUGAUGCAGCUAUGCCGCGUGUAUGAAGAAGGCCUUAGGGUUGUAAAGUACUUUCAUCGGGGAGGAAAAAACAAAACUAAUAAUUUUAUUUCUUGACGUUACCCGAAAAAGAAGCACCGGCUAACUCCGUGCCAGCAGCCGCGGUAAUACGGAGGGUGCUAGCGUUAAUCAGAAUUACUGGGCGUAAAGAGCACGUAGGUGGUUUUUUAAGUCAGAUGUGAAAUCCCUGGGCUUAACCUAGGAACUGCAUUUGAAACUGAAAUACUAGAGUAUCGUAGAGGGAGGUAGAAUUCUAGGUGUAGCGGUGAAAUGCGUAGAUAUCUGGAGGAAUACCUGUGGCGAAAGCGGCCUCCUAAACGAAUACUGACACUGAGGUGCGAAAGCGUGGGGAGCAAACGAGGAUUAGAUACC
rnacentral:rRNA from 1 species